rnacentral:lncRNA from 1 species
GCAGAGAAAAGAAAAAUGGACAUGUUAUAAUUUCAGACUAUUACCUGCAUAUUUACAUUCACCAGAAACACACACUGCACACACAUAAAUUACUGCUACAUACACUGUUGUGCACAACAACAGUAUUUCAACCCCAUCAUCUUCUCCAUCAAUUUACAUACACAUGCUGAACAUACCCAUUUAAAAAACAAUACACAACCAUAGUUCAAUCACACACUGCACAUAUAGAUUAGUACACGCGUGGAAAUUAGGUUAAAUCAGUAGAAUAAAAGGGGCAGAUCGAGGGAAGAAACAGUAAAAAUUAAGUUAAAAAUGAAGAAAUCAUAGAAACAGAGGGAAGCAAAAAUCAGAGAACAAGACAAAACAGAAAAUUUGAAGGAGUAGAUGAACGAAGAGAUGUAGAUCGGAAACAGUGAAAAGAAAGUGUGAUUCUAAGCAAAUACAUUGAUUUUCCCGACGAAUUUUUUCCGGAACACGACUAAAAUUAACCCCUCAAAAUUAUCUCAUUGGAAACUCCAAAAGUCCGGCCAAGACAAUCCAAAUCCACGCCACCACAACGGCGAACCAACCGGCGAAGCCCCCAAAACCGUCGUGUCGCAACCCACUUCGCCGAAAAACUCAUAAAACCGACGAUAAACGCCGGAUUCGCGAUCUUCCAACACUCCCAUCCGGCCUACACACCAAAUCUGACUGGAACCGCCGCAGUGGCGAACCAAUCGGAUCCCCGCUGUCAACCCUCUCUUCCUCUUCCCGUCGCCUGAAAACUUCCCUUUUCGGCCAAUCCCUCACCGGAUUUUUGCCACCAGCGCCGGUGACCCAUUUCCAUCCCUCUCCCUUUUUUCGUCGUUGUUCCGCCAGUCGGGCUACACCAACUCUGGCGACGCUUCCUUUUACUCCUUUUUUCGGUAACCUUCCGCUAGAAAAUAUAUACUAGUUUGCGUAAAUUCACUGAAGUAUAACUUGCGUAUUGUUACAG